rnacentral:rRNA from 1 species
UACGGAGGGGGCUAGCGUUGUUCGGAAUCACUGGGCGUAAAGCGCACGUAGGCGGCUUUGCAAGUCAGAGGUGAAAGCCCGGGGCUCAACCCCGGAAUUGCCUUUGAGACUGCAUCGCUUGAACGUCGGAGAGGUGAGUGGAAUUCCGAGUGUAGAGGUGAAAUUCGUAGAUAUUCGGAAGAACACCAGUGGCGAAGGCGGCUCACUGGACGACUGUUGACGCUGAGGUGCGAAAGCGUGGGGAGCAAACAGG